UUAUAAAACCCCACCCAAAGCACACACAGAAAGCAUGGAAGUCAUUCCCGGAAUAUCAGCAGGCAACUGCAAUAGGAAAUUUGCAGGGUGUUUACUGGAAAAGGGUAAACUUCCUUAAGUUCCAGCACCCAUUGCAUCUGUAUGAAUGCGUAGGAACAUGGGAAUGGGGGCUGCGUAUUUCCCUCGGCUGGAUCUGGCUCAAGGACUAAAGAACCUUAGUCGAAAAGGAUUAAGAGCAAACACCAGCAUUGCAGGUCCGAAAUUGGAUUAGAACUACACCAUGGACUCCCCUGGGUCUCCAGCUUCCAGAUGACAGAUCUUGGGACUUGUCAGACUCCAUAAUCAUUGUGAUGCAGGGACCGGCAGCAUGAGCAUCAUCUGGUACUGGUUAGAACUGCAGACACUCAGGCCCCACUCCAGACCAGUGGAAUCAGAAUCUGCAUUUUUAACAAGAUUCCCAGGGGGAUCCGUCGAUCCCUGUGUUUGCACUCAACAAUCCUGUAAGACAGCACGAAUCACAAGGCUGAAAGCUCCCCGGAUACCACAAUCCAGCAGGAAGCGGCCCCCACCGGUGAUGGGUUGCCCAUUUCGGUGCCAUGUCACAUGGGGCUCUGGGUAACCCCGGACCUUUAAGGAAAAGAAGAAAAGGAGAAAAACUUGUUCAACCACUACCUAAUAAUACCUAAAGACAAUCAGCUUCAUGGAAACCCAUUUUUACUGUCUGCCCACUAUCCUGCACUCCUGGGUGGGGAAGAGAAAGAAGCCUGGGCUCACCUCCUUGGGAUGCAAGACAACAGCCCUGCCUUCCCUGGGUGCCUUAUCUGCCUUCAUCACAGGCCUUCGGCCAAGAAGCCACAGCUAGGAUUUUUACAGUCUGGUCCAAGGCCACACUAAAAACCCACUGAUAUUUUAGUUUUUAGAGGACCUUCACAUAUAGAAUCUUAUUUGAUUCUUGCAACCCUAUGAGGAAAGGGUCUUGGAUUGGGGUACCCAGAAGCAGAACCUGAAACAGGGAUUCAGGGAACCCCAUCUGUGAACCCUUAGCCAACACAGCGUCUGGGAAUGGGUAUACUGGCCUGGUGAAGGGGGUCUGGGUGGGGCUCCAACAGUGUCAGUGACGACACGCAAAGCCAAUCAUAUUACUGAACCCAGAGAGCUGAGGAAAGAGGCCCAAAGAAGUCUAUGAUUAGCCAGUCAAUGGCAGAUCAAGUGGAGAUUUGGGACCACAAUUUUGGUCUCCAAGUUGAGUGGUUGUCUCUCUAUUCCUCAUUGUAAAUUCAUGUUUUUGGUGAGACAAAUACUGUAGAACCUAAAGAACUGAUAAGUGUCUUUCCCUAAGAGACCCUAAAUCUCUUCUAGGUUAAAGCAAUGUCUGUUCUCCACUUUGAGAAAAACUCAAAGAGUUCAUAAAAGAUAUGGCCAUGCCAUACACAAGCCUUGGGUUGUUCCCCCAGAGUAACAAUACGGCAGGGCUAUAGACUAAAUAUUUGUGUCCUUCCAAAAUUCAUAAGUUGAAAUUUAACUCCCAAAUGUGAUGGUAUUAGGAGGUAUUAGGAUGGGGCCUUUGGGAGAUGAUUAGGUCAUGAAACUGGAGCCUUCAUGAAUGGGAUUAGUGCCCUCAUAAAAGGGACACUGAAGAGCUCCCUCACCCCUUCCCCCACGUGAGGACACAGCAACAAGACAGCUAUCUAUGAACCAAGAAGCAAGCCCUCACCAGAUACUGAAUCAAGCCACGCCUUGAUCUUGGACUUCCAGCCACUAGAACUGUGAGAAAUAAAUUUCUGUGGUUUAAGCCCCCCAGUCCACGGUAUUUCUGUUACAGCAACCUGAACAGUCUAAAAUAGACUGGAUUAGUGCCGUACAUGUGCCCAAGACACCCCUAGGAUGUUCAGUGUGAUAAGGGAGGGCAGCUUGAGAGCCGGGGCUGGAGUCCUGGGACUGGCAAGGCUUCCCAGCCCCUUCAAGAUUGUAAUUCUUUCUUUCAUUGAAGAGAAAACAGCUCCUGAUAGCUAAGGCCCCUUCCAUCAGGGGGCCUUGGGCAGUAUACUGAGGUAGUAUGCUUCUGAAUGGUGACCCACUUAGCUUCCCGAUUCUCCCUCCAGUCUCCUCUGGGUCCAGCCCACGACCUUCAUACUCUCUAAUCCUCCAUACAGGAAAACCAAGUGACCACGAGGAGACAUGCUCAUGGACACGAACAGGCAGCCUUGACUUUUCACCAUAAUGAGUUUUUGGAAACAGCCCCACAGAGGGUCAUUCUAAGGAGAAUCGUAUUUUUGCCACAGUAACCACAUUUAAUUGGAGGUUGUGUUCUUGAACAAAAGCCUGGGAUCAAAUAAAUCAAGAGCAUAACCAACAACUUGUCAUAAAAAUAAAGAUACAGUAACCAUAACCCCUAUAAUAAUUUAAAAUAGUAAAACUGUGUUCCAGCUCCAUAAAAUGUCCUCAAAAACCUUUACAUCCUCAAAAAGCCUUUAAAGGGAACGGGGGCUCAUUCUGCAUGUGUUGGAUGAUGAGGAGAAAGUGGGCAGCCUACUCAGCAGCAAUAUGAUACUACCUGUCAUAUUUGAGAGCCUUUUUCUCAGAAGCUGGUGCUGUUUUGACUGAAAGUGAGACAUUCUUAAAGGCACUAAGUCUCUUGGUUUUUCUCUGACAUGUGUGAAGGGCUUUCAGUCUAUUCCAAGGUGUCUGGGACAGGCUACCACAGCCUGAGCCCAGAGCAGUGACAGAUUCCCUAUCUCCACAGCCCUGGCAAAACUCAG